rnacentral:rRNA from 1 species
CCUACGGGAGGCAGCAGUGAGGAAUAUUGGUCAAUGGACGCAAGUCUGACCCAGCAAAGUAGCGUGAAGGAUGACUGCCCUAUGGGUUGUAAACUUCUUUUAUGUGGGAAUAAAACAGAGUGUACCUACUCUCUUGUAUGUACCAUAUGAAUAAGGAUCAGCUACCUCAGUGCCAGCAGCCGAUGUAAUACGGAGGAUCCGAGCGUGUUCCGGAUUUAUUGGGUUUAAAGGGAGCGUAGGUGGAUUGGUAAGUCAGUUGUGAAAGUUUGCGGCUCAACCGUAAAAUUGCAGUUGAAACUGGCAGUCUUGAGUACAGUAGAGGUGGUCGGAAUUCGUGGUGUAGCGGUGAAAUGCUUAGAUAUCACGAAGAACUCCGAUUGCGAAGGCAGCUCACUGGACUGUAACUGACACUGAUGCUCGAAAGUGUGGGUAUCAAACAGGAUUAGAUACCCGUGUAGUC